rnacentral:rRNA from 1 species
GCUGGCGGCGUGCCUAAUACAUGCAAGUCGAGCGCAGGAAACAAGCUGAUCCCUUCGGGGUGACGCUUGUGGAAUGAGCGGCGGACGGGUGAGUAACACGUGGGCAACCUGCCUUGUAGACUGGGAUAACUCCGGGAAACCGGAGCUAAUACCGGAUGACCAACGGAAUCGCAUGAUUCUGUUGUAAAAGUGGGGAUUUAUCCUCACACUACGAGAUGGGCCCGCGGCGCAUUAGCUAGUUGGUAAGGUAAUGGCUUACCAAGGCAACGAUGCGUAGCCGACCUGAGAGGGUGAUCGGCCACACUGGAACUGAGACACGGUCCAGACUCCUACGGGAGGCAGCAGUAGGGAAUCAUCCGCAAUGGGCGAAAGCCUGACGGUGCAACGCCGCGUGAACGAUGAAGGUUUUCGGAUCGUAAAGUUCUGUUAUGAGGGAAGAACAAGUGCCGUUCGAAUAGGGCGGCACCUUGACGGUACCUCACGAGAAAGCCCCGGCUAACUACGUG